rnacentral:lncRNA from 1 species
AAAAUCCUUUUCAAACAGCUCUACGAAAUAUAUUACUUCCCAAAUUAGAAGUAAAAAACUGCAGCCAGAAGAAUACGACUCACAGAAAAGUAAACAGACAAGCAGAGGUGCAUAAACACACAGGCCACAACAACAGUUUUCAUCGUCCAGGCGAGCCAGACCAUCAGGUACCACUUGGCAAUUCAGAGUACAUCACUUCAACCACUCUAGCUAAACCUGCAGCUAGUUUCCAAAAGUCAAUGUUCAAUCAUCCAGACCUAGGCAUAGUACAGUUUCCACAUACACACAACUUGAUUUCGGCCCUCAAAAGAAUUUCGGUUAACAUCCAUACACCACAGAGGCAUCCGUUGCGGAUUCUUCAUUGCCUGAUCAGCUGCAUAUAUGUUUAAGAUUAAGAACCCAUUCAGAAAUUCAGAUCAUUAAGAAAGGUGAGCGAUCAGGAAGAGGUGUGGUUCAAAGAUUUACCCCCGGGUUACCUGUGUAGCUGAGGUUCACUUGGAG